rnacentral:lncRNA from 1 species
CCCAACCACAGGGCAGGCGGAAGCAAAGGUAGAAGCUGAACUCCAAUCUAGGGGAGUCCUACCCCUUAACGCAGCUGUGCCGGAGCGGAAUGUUGGAAAGUGCCUUGAGUCCCUGGAUUUUAGGCCCUUGUCCUCUGUCGUCUACAUCAGACCUGCCUCGUCCCAUCCAAGCCGAUCACCUUCUGAGAGGACCUGGCCCCCGAGCUCAGGAGCACCCCAGCUCUCAGGACACAGCCCCUCGUGGUGGGACAGCGCCUGCACCUGCAGCCCUGUAGCCCCUGCACAAGGAAUUUGUUGAGGGAAUUUGUAUUUUCUGCUGCUUUCUCCUUGAACCUAUUUGCAUUUUAAAUAAUUAAAACAUUAAAGCUGAAAAAUUUAUAAAUGAGAGUGCUAAGAGAAUCCUGCCUGGCAGACGGUAGAGAAAAAAUCAUUGCCCUGUUAGGUUUGCGCCAGUGUCCUGUCUGUCAUUCUCCCCAAGGUGCGUCCACUGCUGUGGCUCGGGCCUCAGGCAGCUCUCUGGUGCACACACACAGUGCAAUGGUGCACACACACACAGCAUCACAGCAGACAAACUCACACGCAUGGCCAAAGAUGCCCCCACCCAGCGUCGUACACAAGCACAUCCUUCCUCCUCCACACCCACCUCUCUCGAGACCCUGCCGUCUACCCCCUGACGCUUCAGGACUCUAUGGAGGAAGACUUUGAUCUCAUUAUUGGAACAACCUAGAUGGAAUCUCAUCGGUCCUCAAUAACCCUGUUUUCCCUUUCCCACUCCGUUUACUUUUCCUCUAAAAGUUCACUUGGAGGAAGGGAAGGGUGGCGAGGGUGGUGGGAGCGGCGGGCGGCGGGGAGUGACAGGCGCUUGGUCCGGCGCGGCUUUGCCUGGUUGUAACAAGCGUCGGGACAUGCGGAGCCACAGAAGCCGGGCUGGCCACAUCAUCAAUCACGGCGCUGACAGCCGCCUUCAGUUUGUUUGUUCCACUUUGCAUAAUAAGUGAUCGGAUCAGGUUUAAUUAGAUAUUGGGUAAUCAAUCAUUGCCAACGAGGCAACUCAGCUUGGG